GGUCGUGCUCCACGGGGUCCUACAUGGAAAUCACCUAUGUGCCCACAACAAGAUAAUGGAGUUGAUUGUGGAUUAUACGUGAUGAGAUUCAUGCUUGACAUAGCGACUCAUUGUACCAACACCAUACAUCUUGAUGAGUUUUGCAAGGUGCAAAAGGGAGAUCCGUUAACAAGCAAGGACCUUAAUGAAGUUUGAGACAUGUUGGCAUCU